CCUACGGGUGGCAGCAGUGAGGAAUAUUGGUCAAUGGACGAGAGUCUGAACCAGCCAAGUAGCGUGAAGGAUGACUGCCCUCUGGGUUGUAAACUUCUUUUAUAAAGGAAUAAAACGAGGCACGUGUGCCUUUUUGCAUGUACUUUAUGAAUAAGGAUCGGCUAACUCCGGGCCAGCAGCCGCGGUAAUACGGAGGAUCCGAGCGUUAUCCGGCUUUAUUGGGUUUAAAGGGAGCGUAGAUGGGUUGUUAAGUUCAUUGUGAAAUUUUGAGGAUCAACCGUAAAAUUGCAAUUGAUACUGGCAGUCUUGAGUACAGUUGAGGUAGGCGGAAUUCGUGGUGUAGCGGUGAAAUGCUUAGAUAUCACGAAGAACCCCGAUUGCGAAGGCAGCUUACUAAACUGUGACUGACAUUGAUGCUCGAAAGUGUGGGUAUCAAACAGGAUUAGAUACCCCUGUAGUC
rnacentral:rRNA from 1 species